rfam:Yarrowia lipolytica complete mitochondrial genome, strain W29
GUUUAUGUAGUUUAAUGGUAAAACUUUCGCUUCUUACGCGAACUCUGGUAGUUCGAUUCUACCCAUAAACG